rnacentral:snRNA from 1 species
CCACUUCCAAAGUACAUAUACUAAAAUUGGAACGAUACAGAGAAGAUUAGCAUGGCCCCUGUGCA